rnacentral:lncRNA from 1 species
GAGGUCAUCGAGCGAUCACAAUGCAUCAGAGUGUUGCCAACUCGAAUCUGCACGUCAAUUUCACUACACUAUUUUGAACGACGUAAAAUCUGGUGAAAAACUAGGAGAUUCCUUUCCUCAAAGUCUACAAGGAGGUCCAUGGUAGCAUCCAAAAACCACCUGAAUCGUCUUCACGGCAAAAGUUAGAGUAUCCCACACCACAUAAAGGCGCUUACAUGCAUGCAUGGCCCGACCAUUGUCUGCCCUCUCUACAGUCCAGAAGGAUCGGAAUCGCCCCAGACAUGCUGGAAGUAGAGAUCCAGGAACAUCAUGCAUGUAAAAAAUCCUCUUGAGGUGUCGAAUCUUAUACCAAAUAAUGAUGUCAAACUUUCCCUCCGGCGUGAAAUCUGAAGCAAAGCCCUACUGCGCCUCUUCGAACAGGCCCUGCCCAACUUCUCGUCAAUGGUGAUUGCAAAAUUCAGACGAAGAUGCAAGCCUGCUCAGUCCAAUCAGUCCGAAAAAUCCAAAAACCGACCGAUGGUCCUCACAGAUCAACCUUGUCCUACACCCAGAACAACAACAGAACAACUCCCAGUCCGAUUUCGUGUCUACAUUCCUUACCGAAACCUUGGUUCAGGAGGAUCCCAACAACUCUUGUGGAAGCUGCAACAGUACGCACGAAAUGCUCAGCGACCACCAGGAAACACGCGACGUUGGUCAGCAAAACACUAAAUUGGCCUCAGAAAACUUAGGAUUCCGGACCAAGCCCUAAAUUCUGUAGAGCAGAUCCCACCACCCCAUCACCCGAAGUCUUGAGGUCACACUCUUUUUCGCAGCCCGCUUUUGGCGUCACUAGAUUUCUAAAGGUCUCGUUCUCUGCUGGACUCUAGCAUGCAAAGG